UAAAUUUGUUUUGGGCCUCCAUAUGUCUAUAACUGGUCUUUUGCUUUCUUUCUGUAUAUAUAUUUUUGAUUGUAUUUGAGUUUUAUGUGUGACACUGUUUUCUCUGUUUUAGAAUACUGAUUCAUGAGCGGACAUUCCUGCAUUUGGAGCUUUACUGACUAAACUACAACUGCUGCACUUUUUACCUGGAUUCCUGUGUUUUGGCUGUUUCUUCAGAGAGCAGUUUAUAUACAUACUUACAUUAAGGCUGUUACUUUUAUUGUACUUUUUGUGUUUUGCCUUCUUUUUAAUAAGGCAUUUUUUUAGUUUAGAUAUAGAUAGAUAGAAAAGAUAUAGAUUAGUUCAUAGAUAUCUUAUAGACUUUUUGUGCUCUUUGUUUUACUUCUUAUACAGGGCAUUACAUUUUUACUUUACUUUUAUUGUUCUUAAAAACCUAAUUGUUUAUUGUAUUUUACAAUUGCAUUUUGCCAUUUAAAUAUAUACAUACUGUCUUGCAUUGUUAUUAAACUGUUUUUUCUUCUUUAGGCUACUCUACAGGUUUUAUCUUUGCAGGCUCAACAGGUAACAUACUUCAGUGGAAAGAAUGUGUAAAUUGGAGUAUCCUGAUUAAAUUAAUUUGACUAAUUAGCAAUUAUAUUUCUCUAUGGGGUGGU